rnacentral:rRNA from 1 species
GGGGAAUCUUGCACAAUGGAGGAAACUCUGAUGCAGCGACGCCGCGUGAGCGAAGAAGCCUUUCGGGGUGUAAAGCUCUUACGCCAGGGACGAUAAUGACGGUACCUGGAGAAGCAGCUGCGGCUAACUACGUGCCAGCAGCCGCGGUAAUACGUAGGCAGCAAGCGUUGUUCGGAAUUACUGGGCGUAAAGGGUGCGUAGGCGGCGCUCUAAGUUUGGUGUGAAAUCUCCCGGCUUAACUGGGAGGGUGCACUGAAAACUGGGGCGCUCGAGUAUGGGAGAGGAAAGCGGAAUUCCUGGUGUGGCGGUGAAAUGCGUAGAGAUCAGGAGGAACACCUGCGGUGCAGACGGCUUUCUGGACCAUCACUGACGCUGAGGCACGAAAGCGUGGGUAGCAAACA